CAAUAGCGUAUAUUAAAGUUGUUGCAGUUAGACCGCUCGUAGUCGGAUUUCGGGGCGGGCCGACCGGUCUGCCGAUGGGUAUGCACUGGUCGGCGCGUCCUUCCUUCCGGAGACCGUCCCUACUCUUAACUGAGCGGGGGCGGGAGACGGGACUUUUACUUUGAAAAAAUCAGAGUGUUUCAAGCGGGCAGCUCGCUCUUGCAUGGAUUAGCAUGGGAUAAUGAAAUAGGACUUUGGUGCUAUUUUGUUGGUUUCGAACACCGAAGUAAUGAUGAGAAGGGACAGUCAGGGGCACUCGUAUUCCGCCGAGAGAGGUGAAAUUCUCAGACCAGCGGAAGACGAACCACUGCGAAAGCAUUUGCCAGGGAUGUUUUCACUGA
rnacentral:rRNA from 1 species